rnacentral:rRNA from 1 species
UACGAGGGGGGCAAGCGUUGUUCGGAAUUAUUGGGCGUAAAGGGCGCGUAGGCGGUGCGGUAAGUCACCUGUGAAACCUCUAGGCUCAACCUAGAGCCUGCAGGCGAAACUGCCGUGCUUGAGGGUGGGAGAGGUGCGUGGAAUUCCCGGUGUAGCGGUGAAAUGCGUAGAUAUCAGGAGGAACACCGGCGGUGUAGACGGCUUUCUGGACCGUAGCUGACGCUGAGGAGCGAAAGCGUGGGGAGCGAACAGG